UGCAACUCGCCUGCAUGAAGUCGGAAUUGCUAGUAAUCGCAGAUCAGCAUGCUGCGGUGAAUACGUUCCCGGGCCUUGUACACACCGCCCGUCACACCAUGGGAGCCGGUAAUACCCGAAGUCAGUAGUCCAACCUCGUGAGGACGCUGCCGAAGGUAGGAUUGGCGACUGGGGUGAAGUCGUAACAAGGUACC
rnacentral:rRNA from 1 species